rnacentral:rRNA from 1 species
GAUGAACGCUGGCGGCGUGCUUAACACAUCGCAAGUCGAGCGAGAAGUUUUGAAAAGAUUCUUCGGAUGAAAUUUAAAAUGGAAAGCGGCGGACGGGUGAGUAACGCGUAGGCAACCUGCCCCAUACAAAGGGAUAGCAUUUGGAAACGAAUAUUAAUACCUUAUGAAACUUAACUAGCGCAUGCUAGGUGGGUCAAAGAUUUAUCGGUAUGGGAUGGGCCUGCGUCUGAUUAGCUAGUUGGUGAGGUAACGGCUCACCAAGGCGACGAUCAGUAGCCGACCUGAGAGGGUGCCACGGCCACAUUGGAACUGAGACACGGUCCAAACUCCUACGGGAGGCAGCAGUGGGGAAUAUUGCACAAUGGGGAAACCCUGAUGCAGCAACGCCGCGUGAACGAUGAAGGCCUUUGGGUCGUAAAGUUCUGUUCUAGGUGAUGAAAACUGACAGUAACCUAGGAGAAAGCCCCGGCUAACUCCGUGCCAGCAGCCGCGGUAAUACGGAGGGGGCAAGCGUUAUCCGGAAUUAUUGGGCGUAAAGGGUACGUAGGUGGCCUUUUAAGCGUAGGGUAUAAGGCAAUGGCUCAACCAUUGUUCGCCCUAUGAACUGGAAGGCUUGAGUGCAGGAGAGGAAAGCGGAAUUCCUAGUGUAGCGGUGGAAUGCAUAGAUAUUAGGAGGAACAUCAGCGGCGAAGGCGGCUUUCUGGACUGCAACUGACACUGAGGUACGAAAGCGUGGGGAGCAAACAGGAUUAGAUACCCUGGUAGUCCACGCCGUAAACGAUGAGCACUAGGUGUCGGGGUCGUAAGGCUUCGGUGCCGUAGUUAACGCAUUAAGUGCUCCGCCUGGGGAGUACGCACGCAAGUGUGAAACUCAAAGGAAUUGACGGGGACCCGCACAAGCAGCGGAGCAUGUGGUUUAAUUCGAAGCAACGCGAAGAACCUUACCAGGACUUGACAUCCUUCUGACCGGUCUCUAAUAGGACCUUUCUUUUGACAGAAGAGACAGG